AAUAUGAUCGAUCAGGUGCCAC
rnacentral:misc_RNA from 1 species